rnacentral:rRNA from 1 species
CCUACGGGAGGCAGCAGUGCGGAAUAUUGGUCAAUGGGCGGGAGCCUGAACCAGCCAAGCCGCGUGAGGGAAGCAGGUACAGCGUAUCGUAAACUUCUUUUGUCAGGGAACAAAGGUGGGGACUAGUACGCGGAUGAGGGUACCUGAAGAAAAAGCAUCGGCUACGUCCGUGCCAGCAGCCGCGAUAAUACGGAGGAUGCGUGCGUUCUCCUGAUGGAUUGGGUUUAAGGGGUGCGCAGUCGGCCUGUUCAGUCAGGGGUAAAAGCCCGAGGCUCAACCCCGUCGAGCCGGUGACACUGGCGGGCUGGAGUUGGAUAGAAGUACGCGGAAUGCGCGGUGUAGCGGUGAAAUGCUUAGAUAUCGCGCAGAACCCCUAUUGCGAAGGCAGCGUACCGGCUCCACACGGACGCUGAGGCACGAAAGCGUGGGUAGCGAACAGGAUUAGAUACCCGAGUAGUC